AUUGAACGCUGGCGGCAUGCCUUACACAUGCAAGUCGAACGGCAGCACGGGUGCUUGCACCUGGUGGCGAGUGGCGAACGGGUGAGUAAUACAUCGGAACAUGUCCUGUAGUGGGGGAUAGCCCGGCGAAAGCCGGAUUAAUACCGCAUACGAUCUACGGAUGAAAGCGGGGGACCUUCGGGCCUCGCGCUAUAGGGUUGGCCGAUGGCUGAUUAGCUAGUUGGUGGGGUAAAGGCCUACCAAGGCGACGAUCAGUAGCUGGUCUGAGAGGACGACCAGCCACACUGGGACUGAGACACGGCCCAGACUCCUACGGGAGGCACCAGUGGGGAAUUUUGGACAAUGGGCGAAAGCCUGAUCCAGCAAUGCCGCGUGUGUGAAGAAGGCCUUCGGGUUGUAAAGCACUUUUGUCCGGAAAGAAAUCCUUGGCCCUAAUACGGUCGGGGGAUGACGGUACCGGAAGAAUAAGCACCGGCUAACUACGUG
rnacentral:rRNA from 1 species